rnacentral:rRNA from 1 species
CUACGGGUUGCAGCAGUGGGGAAUAUUGCACAAUGGGCGCAAGCCUGAUGCAGCAACGCCGCGUGAACGAAGAAGGUCUUCGGAUCGUAAAGUUCUUUUCUUAGGGAAGAAAAAUGACGGUACCUAAGGAAUAAGCACCGGCUAAAUACGUGCCAGCAGCCGCGGUAAUACGUAUGGUGCAAGCGUUAUCCGGAAUCACUGGGCGUAAAGGGAGCGUAGGCGGUUUUGCAAGUCAGAAGUGAAAGGCUACGGCUCAACCGUGGUAAGCUUUUGAAACUGCAAGACUAGAGUGCAGGAGAGGCAAGUGGAAUUCCUAGUGUAGAGGUGAAAUUCGUAGAUAUUAGGAGGAACACCAGUGGCGAAGGCGACCUGCUGGACUGUAACUGACGCUGAGGCUCGAAAGCGUGGGGAGCGAACAGGAUUAGAUACCCUUGUAGUC